rnacentral:rRNA from 1 species
UACGUAGGGGUGCGAGCGUUUGUCCGGAAUUACUGGGCGUAAAGAGCUCGUAGGUGGUUUGUCGCGUUUGUCCGUGAAAACUCACAACUCAAUUGUGGGCGUGCGGGCGAUACGGGCAGACUGGAGUACUGCAGGGUAGACUGGAAUUCCUGGUGUAGCGGUGGAAUGCGCAGAUAUCAGGAGGAACACCGGUGGCGAAGGCGGGUCUCUGGGCAGUAACUGACGCUGAGGAGCGAAAGCGUGGGGAGCGAACAGG